GACGAACGCUGGCGGCGUGCUUAACACAUGCAAGUCGAACGGAAAGGCCCUGCAUUUGUGGGGUGCUCGAGUGGCGAACGGGUGAGUAACACGUGAGUAACCUGCCCUUGACUUUGGGAUAACUUCAGGAAACUGGGGCUAAUACCGGAUAGGAGCUCCUGCUGCAUGGUGGGGGUUGGAAAGUUUCGGCGGUUGGGGAUGGACUCGCGGCUUAUCAGCUUGUUGGUGGGGUAGUGGCUUACCAAGGCUUUGACGGGUAGCCGGCCUGAGAGGGUGACCGGCCACAUUGGGACUGAGAUACGGCCCAGACUCCUACGGGAGGCAGCAGUGGGGAAUAUUGCACAAUGGGCGGAAGCCUGAUGCAGCCACGCCGCGUGCGGGAUGACGGCCUUCGGGUCGUAAACCGCUUUCGCCUGUGACGAAGCGUGAGUGACGGUAAUGGGUAAAGAAGCACCGGCUAACUACGUG
rnacentral:rRNA from 1 species